rnacentral:rRNA from 1 species
GACGUAGGAUGCAAGCGUUGUUCGGAUUUAUUGGGCGUAAAGCGUACGUAGGCGGUUCGGUAAGUGGGAGGUUAAAGACUGGGGCUCAACCCCAGGAGUGCCCCCCAAACUGCCAGACUUGAGGUUCAUAGGGGAUGGUGGAAUUCCGAGUGUAGCGGUGAAAUGCGUAGAUAUUCGGAGGAACACCGGUGGCGAAAGCGACCAUCUGGGUGAAUCCUGACGCUGAGGUACGAAAGCUCGGGGAGCAAACGGG